CGCCCGCCGACUCGUUCUCCACCACAACUUCUCCGUCACAUUCCUCAUUCCCACUGAUGGCUCUCCCGUUACCCCGCAGAAAUCCGUUCUCAAAGCCUUACCCACAUCCAUAAACUAUGUUUUCCUUCCUCCUGUUGCCUUCGAUGACCUUCCCGAGGACGUACGCAUCGAGACUCGGAUCUCGCUCAGCAUGACUCGGUCGGUUCCCGCCCUGCGGGACUCGCUCCGGACACUGACCGAGUCGACUCGGCUCGUGGCUCUGGUGGUUGACCUCUUUGGCACCGACGCUUUUGAUGUUGCCAAUGAAUUCGGUAUUCCUCCGUACAUCUUCUUCCCUACGACCGCCAUGGUGUUGUCGUUGAUAUUCCACGUGCCGGAGCUUGACCAGAAAUUCUCUUGCGAGUAUCGGGACCUACCCGAACCGGUCAAAUUUCCCGGCUGUGUGCCGGUUCAGGGGAGAGACCUAAUCGACCCGCUUCAAGACAGAAAAAACGAGGCCUACAAAUGGGUUGUCCACCACGCCAAAAGGUACAAAACGGGCCCUGGAAUCAUAGUGAACAGCUUCAUGGACCUUGAACCGGGAGCUUUCAAAGCUCUUAAAGAAAUCGAACCGGACUACCCUCCGGUUUACCCCGUCGGACCACUAACCCGGUCCGGUUCAACAAACGGGGACGACGGAUCCGAGUGUUUGACAUGGCUGGAUCAUCAACCAAGUGGGUCAGUCCUAUUUGUGUCGUUCGGCAGCGGGGGUACCCUAUCCCAGGAGCAGAUAACUGAACUCGCUUUGGGAUUAGAGAUGAGUGGACAAAGAUUCCUCUGGGUUGUGAAAAGCCCACAUGAAACAGCAGCAAAUGCCUCAUUUUUCAGUGCCCAAACCAUUAAAGACCCUUUUGAUUUUCUGCCAAAGGGCUUUUUAGAUAGGACCCAAGGGCUGGGUCUUGUGGUCUCAUCUUGGGCACCCCAGGUCCAAGUCCUGAGCCAUGGCUCCACCGGUGGGUUCCUAACCCACUGUGGUUGGAACUCAACAUUAGAGACCAUAGUCCAGGGUGUCCCCAUAAUCGCAUGGCCCCUCUUCGCCGAGCAGAGAAUGAACGCGACACUGCUCGCCAACGAUCUAAAGGCCGCAGUCACGUUGAACAAUAAUAAUGGUCUGGUGAGCCGCGAAGAAAUUGCCAAAACUGUGAAGAGCUUAAUCGAAGGAGAAAAAGGAAAAAUGAUACGAAACAAGAUCAAAGACCUCAAGGACGCUGCGACAAUGGCUCUGAGCCAAGAUGGAUCGUCUACUAGGUCACUUGCAGAGGUGGCUCAGAUAUGGAAGAAUAUCAAGGUUUGAAAAAAAAAGGGUUGAAAUGGAAGAAUUGGAUGAAUGUGUAUGGGUUGGAUUUUGUUGACUUUAGGCUAUAUAUUUAAAUUUUGUCUUGUGUAUGUGUUAUAACUUAUAAUCUAUAAAGGGGUGUACUUAGAGAAAUGGACAAUGGAGGGAUGCACUUCUUGAAUAUAGUUUUUAUCCCAAUCAAAUCAGUGGUCCAAUGGAAAAUGAAUCGGUUAAUAGCUAUUUGAUAAUAUUGUGCAAUGGUUGGUAUUUUGAAAUAAAAUCAUAUUUUAGGGAUUUUUAAAAAAAUAUAAUGAAAAUAUGAUUUUUAUAGUGUGGUUUGAGUCCAAAUUUAACAUCUAAUUAAAAAUCCAUUUUUUCAAAGUAUCGUCCAAUUUAAAAAUUUAUUCAAUCAUGGAUAGAAUUGAUUCGAUAAUCUAAUUGUGCUCCAACCGUUAUAUCAAUGUUACAUGAAUGGCUAAUCCAAUUAUUGAGCGAUCCAAUAAUAAACUAGUCCAAACAUAAGAAUCAAACAGAUGAUUGAACUGAUAAGUCUAAUUUAACUUUCAAAUGGAUGAUCCUAUUAUUUGAUUUAAAGUGAGGAAAAUAUUCGAUAAAAUUUUAAAUUCAUGGUAAUUAAGUAUAUUUAGCUUUAACUUCAAAAUUCUAAAAAUAUGACAAAGAAAAACAAUGGAGAGCUCAAUCAAAAAGCUCAACACAUCCCCUCUAUCUUACAAAGAUUACGAUAUUUAUAAGUCUUCUUCUUAGUAAGACCUUUGUGAAUUUUUUCAUCAUAAGUUUUGCAUUUUUUGCGAUCUUUGGUACAUAUAUUAGAUAACAACAUUAUGACCUUUAGAACAUGAUUUUGAAGGGUUUUUUUUCUUUUUUUCUUCUAAUAAUGUAUGUUAGGACUUUGCUAAUUUGGCGAAAGCCAAACAAGUUAGGCUAAGAGGAUGUGAGAAUACCCUUUUUCUCAAUGUGAAUUUUAAUUUCAGUUGAUGUUUGUUCUUUUACUUAAUUCUAAAUAUAAUUUUGAUGUUUAAUAAUGUUAAGUAUUAGAUGAUUUGUUUUUGUAAUAUUUUAUUUUUCUCAAGCAUUAAAAGAUAAAGACAAAUCAGCAUAUUAUUUUUUUUAUUUAAAAAAAAAUCAGAUAUUUUAACUUUUUAUAUUCGACAAAAAAUUUAUAAUAAGUCUUAAAAAAAAUUAAAAAUACAAACGAAUUAAAGUUUGAAAGUAAAUUACUUUUAAUAAAAAAUUAAAAAAACAAAUACGACAUGGCCAAAAUCUUACAAUAUGAAGUAAAGGACAGUGGUUGACCCUCUUUAUUAUUUUAAAAAUAAAAUAUUAAACAAAUAGUACCAACGAAAAUGGGGCAUGACCUCAAUACACAAGAAGCACAAGGCCGAUAAUGGAAUGGGCCAAUGCAGCAUAAAAGGUUUUCAUGCAAAAGCCUUUUGGCCCCUAGCUUGGAGCUCCCUUCUCCUGAAAAGAUUCUUCCACAAAUACCCUCAAAAGCAGAGAGGGCCAAGGCGCUUACCUUUGCGUUUUUUGCCCACUGCUCGUUUAUUAUUUUCUCAAAAUUAAUGCCACAAUAAUUAGUAAGGACUAAGGACCCCAUUUAUGAAUCAUGUCGGCUUAAAGUUGCUUUAUCCUUCUAAAGUCGGACUUAUCCGCAUGUGAAAGCUCACUCAAAAAGUAAAAACAACCCCGUACUUUAAAUCUCAACAAGAAUUUUAUCGGCUUCUUCCACCCCCACGGUCCUACCUUCUAGAAGAGCCCAAUGGGCUUUCUUUUCUUAUUGGGCCAUUUCUUAAUAAUACGGGCUUAUUUUUAAGUCUGUUUGGGUCCAUUAAUAUUUCCAGCCAGGAAAAAAAAAAGCUAUGUUAUGAAUAAACGAAAGUUGUACUACACAUCAAGUUAACAAUAGUUAUAACUUAUAACUGUAUGUAAUAAAAAAUUCAUAUUAAAAUAUUAAAUUAUAAAAGUCUUUUUAUUUAAGUUAAGUUGUAUUUUUAAAUAUUUUAUUUAAAUAUAAUAUAUCUAAAAUUUGAUUGUAUGAAUUUCUAUACAAAAGAGGUUCAGACAAAUUCAAAAACAAACUUGAUGUAGGAUGAUUGAAAUUUCUUAAUCCAAGCUCCCAAACAGCCCCCAAAUGUCCACGUGGCAGAGGGAACGAUAGUCGAUAAACCCUCAAAUGCAGAGGUUUUAGAAAGAGAGACUUUCAUCGGGGAGAAAAGGCAGAGGUUGAGGUUCAGAGAAAAUGGAGAAAUCUCUGGUGACACUCGACAACGGCACCACAUGCUCUUCCUGGAACUACAAUGGCGAGAGAUUGGCAACGGGCUCAGUCGAUGGAACACUGGCCAUCUUCGAUUCAAUCGACCCAGCUUCUUCAUCCUUCACUUGCACCUCCAGAUCUAGGGUUCGUAAGUUCUCUUAUUCUUUUCCUUGAUUACGCUCUCAAAAUUUUUGCUGUAGGGUUUUUCUUUUUGUUUCUAUUUUUUUGGUUGACUUUUAUUUGUAGGAGUAUUUCAACGAAAAAUGGGCUAAUGUUAGUGGGUUUCAUUUGCAAUAAGGAAAAAAAAAAAAAAGUUGGGAGAGGGUUCUUAAUAGAUUGGGUAAGCGAGAUUGAUGAGGGAGACCGUUAUGGUGUGUGGAUUUAUGAAAAUUUUGCCGAAGUGGUUUGUUGCUAUGACUUGAAUAAGGGUUGUUUCGGGAACUGCAAUUGAAAUUGUUCUUCGAAAUAUUUUGACGGCAAUGGGGUUGGCUUUGAUGGGAUUUAUCAGGAUUUCGGUGGUUUGAACAGUGAGUUCAUUUGCGCUUCUCAGGCCGUUGAUCUCUGUAUUGUAUUUUAACACUUGUUUUGACGUUCAACUUGUUUUAGGUGCAUGAGGAUAGCGUAGUGAAAGUGGUUUGGGUCCCUCCGGAAUAUGGCGAUGCAGUUGGGUGCAUUUGUGCUGAUGGAACUUUGUCAUUGUGGGAGGAGGUUGUAGAAGGUACCCACUAAGUUCACCUUCUCGUGUGAUCAUUUAUGACAAACAAAUAUGUGUAUUAGUCUGCCAUUGAAAUUUUUUAUGUAAUGGGUCAGGAACAGAUUCUGGACUAGCUUAUAGAAUGUUGUUCAGUGAUUUUUUUAUUAUAUUUUCCAUCGUAGUAUUUUCGGUGGUGUAUUACUAUAAUUAUUUCUUCCGUCUGAAUUUUAUUGUGUUUGAUUACCUCUAGGUUGUGAUUAAUUUAUUACAGUGCAAUUUAUUUUAUUAAGAUGAAUGAAAAGAUCUCACUGUCUUGUAAUUUUUAUUUCCUUUCUCUAGAUGCACAACCCCUUCAAUGGAAACUAUGCAAAAGUUUUGGAAGUAAUUCAAAUAAAGUGCUCGAUGUCCAAUUUGGAGUCUCACCAACAAGUUUGAAAAUGGUGAACUGUGAUAAUUGUUACUUCUUUCCUUUAUCUCUAUUUUAUUAUUGGAACUGCUGAAGCCAAUUUAAAAUGUCUGAUGAUAUUUGUUAUAGAGUGCCAUUUGAUCGGUUACGUCUUAUGCAGCGAAGCAUAUCAAGUCUAUCCAACUUGUUCUAGAAUGGACACUCUAUGUCCUACAUUUUUUCUACUAGCAGUUUGCCACUGUAUACAUCAUGUGUACUUUGUUCUGCCCUUUUUGGCGUUUUUAAUACAAAUCUCAUUUACUGAUUAAAAAAAAAAAAGAUUUCUACUAGCAGUUUGGAAAUAGUUGUUUAAAUUUAUUUCUGUUGCAUGGAAUUUCUUGAAGGGAUUAAAACUUUUUUAUUUGUGUGUGAAAGUGGAGCGAUAAUUUUUUUGUUUGUUUCAUUUUGAGCUUGUGAAUUUUCAUGCUUUUAUUGGUUUCCAGAAAAAAAAUUGUCGUCACUUUUCUCACCAGGUAAAAGCAAACAAUGAGAUCAGUUCCCCAUUUAUGCUUUAGAUAGUCUCUGGGUAUGCAGGGUUGAGGGUGGGCAUUUGUUGACAUGAUCUAGUCUGUUCACAAAUGAGAUUAAGUUUAUCGAAGUUCUAUGGUUUUUUUUAUCACCUGUUUAUAAUUGGUAAUCUAUUACUUGAACAUUAAUAAAGCAAGAACUUUCAUUUUGAUUGAAUUGUAUGUCCUAUUAACUUAGCUUACUUUACAGGUUAGUGCAUAUUCAGAUGGCCACGUGAAAGUCUAUGAGCUCCUAGAUCCAUUGGAACUGAAGAGUUGGCAACUUCAGGUGACCAUUUUAUCUGCUUUCAUUUCUUAAUCUUAUUAUGAUGCAAUUCGACUUGUAAAUAUGGCAAUGAUGGAAAAGUUGUGGGUUGGAAAGUUAUAAAUCUUUAAGUUAUUAUUUUAUUAUUUGAAUAAAUUUUCCACCCAAUACCAUAUGUUGAAGUUAUUAUUAUUUGUUUUUUCCGGAAGAUGUAAUGAACAGAUUCCAUUUUUUUCCUAUUCUCAUCUUUUCCUUAAUUUAUCUCAUUCUAUCUUCAUUUUAUUUUUUCCCUUUAAAUUUGUUUGGAAGUUGUAGUUUGUAAACUAUGAGCACAAUGGAUAAAAAUAUAUAAAAGAAUCUAUUUGGUUGCUUUUUAGGUCUUAUUUUUCACUUUUCAACAUUGCUUGCUAGAUAUAUUUGGUUGUUGUCUUGGCCAUUCGGAGCAUUUGAUAUGGACAUAACUUCCUGAAGCACCAUGAUGACCAAACAUCUUUGGCAUUAGUUUCUCCCUUAUUUUAGCUGUUUAUGUCUAAAAAGUGAAAAUGAAGAAUAUUCAUCUCAUGCUCCUGCCAACAGCUUUUGAAUGCUGCAUUAAAUGGCUCAGACAGUGAAAAUGAUUCUGAGGAUAAUAAUGGUUUUGAAUCUUUUGAUAUUUGAGACAUCAUGGCCAAGCAUAUAGAUUUGAGUUAAGGGUAAUUAAUGCCAAUCUUUUUGCGUGUUUUUUUUGUUUCUGAAUUCUCAUUUAUAUUAUAUAUCCAUAAUUAUUUUUAAAAAAAAUUCAUUCCCUUUUGUUCAUAGGCUGAAUUUCAGAAUGCUAGUGAUUCAGUGUCUACGUUUGGGAAGGCUUUGUGCUUAUCUGCAUCUGUCUCUUGGAAUCCACAAAGAGGUGAAAGUCAGCAAUCAAGCUUUGUCUUGGGUUUUCAUUCUGACACUCCGCAACUCAAUUCCGCAAAGGUCUGUUAAAUUCUGCAUUUCUUGCUUCCUUGUCAUUAAAUUUCUAUGUGAGAUUGUAGACUAGCUACAUGUCUAGGGCACAGCCUUUCCUACCUCAUCAGAUAUGUUAAAAUUAAUGAGAUGAUUGGAGGCCCCAACACAGGGUAAAACCUUCAAGAUUUACAAGUUGAACCUAUUAAAGGAAUUUAUUUUCUUCAUUUUAAGGAUGGAUAAAAACUCCACAUUAAAGGAAUAAUUCAUUAAUUGAAUGGAUAAAAUCAUCUACAAGAACAUUUUUAAUCCAUAUGACCAUGUUGGGUACCCUUUCAUCAGAAGAAUAGCAGCAGCUGUGAAAACUACUUUGCUCCUUCAGCACCUUAACUCUUAUAUAAUAAAAUUCUCCAUUAGAUACCAAAUUAUUUUAUUGUUGAGGGUGGUGGUGGUGUUGCCCCUCCUCUUUUAUAGCACUUUGUCUGUCAAAAAAAAACAAAAAAACAAAAAGAUACCAAAUUAUUUUAGUUUAUUUAUUGAUAGGCAAAUGAAAUUUCUAUCAACAACACUAACCAAAAAGUGUGCACCAAGGCAUACAAGAAGCAUGCUAAUGUUGCCAAACAGAAAUAGGAGCUAAAAAAAUUGCUUCUCUCCCUUUAUAUACAGCCUAUCCCAUCAACUGAUACAAACAUAUGUCAUACAUGGUUGUAGGCAUAUUUCGUUACGUAUACGAAACAAUCAUAGAAGGGAACUGUUUUUGUGUGCAUAGAUGGUCUUUUAUGCAUAUGGAAAUCUACUCAACUCAAUUUAAAUUACAAGUAAAAAAAUUCAUCCCAUAUAUCAAAACAUUUUGAAAUAUAUUUUUUGUUAAAUUUAAUUUUAGGCCCAAUAUUUGGAAUUGAUGUCUUACCACCCCCAUAUGGAUUCUCUAUAGGGUUCAUAACUAUUUUUACUACAAGAUGCCUACUUAGCCAACACUUAGAUCUAGCUCUACCCAAACCUUUUUUUUUCACCCCAACAUUCCUCACCUAUCUGAUUGUCAUCGACCAAUAUUUGGAUUUCAAAUAGACCUCCCUAGAAGGUAACUUUAAUGUGGCCAAUUUCCUCUCUUUUGCAAUAAGUUUUGCCACAACACCCGCUACUCUAGCCAAUUAUACACCAUUUCCAAUUGUGAUUUCUAUUUUUUUUUUUUUAUAGGUCAAGAUCAAUUGUAUUCAGUGUCUAAAAAAAAUGGUGGAAAAAAGUUACACAAGAUGACUAUUCAUAGCCAUCACCUUGACACCAAAGAAGAGUUUGACUUGAUACUCUAUUUAUUCGAUAUUAAAAGUACAUUGAUUUUUUCCCAAUAACCAAAUACUUUUAUUUGUAAAUACUACAUAUUUGAUUCUAUCCAUAAAUCCAUUUUCUUCUCAUGAGCUACUAGUACAAGUAGUGGUUCAGAAGUGUCUUGGAUGCGUUGAAUAGUCUAGUUUUAGUCUUUCACUUACCUUAUGAUCCUAGUGAGUUAAGCACCCCCAGGUAGAAAAGAAAUGGAACACAUUUUCAAUGGUUUAAAAUGGGCUUAGCGCUAGCCUUUUGAAUCACAAAUGAACAGAUAGAGACUUGGAAGUUUGGUCUUCUGUCAUGUAGAGGGAGAGAAUCACCUGCUUUAGAUGCUACAAAUCAUCCUUCAUCUCAACUUUCAGCUUUCUUUUUGCAAUUUCCACCAACAAUCAGGACCCUCCCAACAGCAUAAUAAGGGGCAUCCAGUGUGGACUUCAAUUUAGCAUUGAUCAGGCAAUUGAAGCACUUGAUCUUCUGUGCUUCUAUUCUUAAUAAAAAUGCUAGUUCUUACUAUUCAUAUAUUAUGAUACGAAUAUACCACACUUCUUAUGUAUGGAUGAUGAGAUUCCACUGAUAUGGAGCGAAUUCCAAUAGACUUAUUGGAAGGUCCCAUUAGUGUGCAUCUAGUAGGGAUUGAACCCACAGAUUUGCCAAUUAUGAGAUGGAUGCUUUAACCAUUCAAUCAUCGAUUCUUAGUGGGGAUCCUCUUACAUGGUGAAUAAGUAAAUUCUAAUUGAAACAAAAUCUUUACGAUAACUUGGUGUACUUUAGGAGGAAUCAAUGAGGACAUCAAUUCACAUCUUUGAUUUUCAAAUUGAGAGAGAUAUUGAGAAAGAUCAAGAAUCCUCAUUAUUUCUUAAAUUCAUGGACCCAAUUCAAUUCAAUGGGAUCUUUCAUUUGCAUUUUUUCCCCACCAAGAAUGUUUAAUAAAACUCUAAACUCCUGAAUUUGAAGUAUCCUACUUUCACACGAUUUAUAGGGUUCAACAGGUAAUAUUUCAUGAUCAAGGGUGUAGUACUAUAUGCAGUAGAGGUCCUCAUAUAUCAUAUUAACAACUAAAAUAUGGUUGAAAUGAGAAGUCUCUAUUUGUUGAGGCUUCUUCCUAUACUCGUGAAUUCCAUUAAACCCAAAAUGAUGCAUUGGAAGAAUCUUUUAGGUCUUCCAAUAUCAAUAGGUUGAUUGUUUUGCUCAUGUAUCUUCCAAAAGGAUAAAAGAUCUCUUGAGAGCUAUUUUCUGGAUCUGAAAGAGUGUACUUGGGAUCUGAAAAAGUGUAUCAUGCCUGAAUCGAAGCUAGAAGUUUGAGCUUCCUGUACAAUCGUGGAGUGACUUCCCAAAAUGAUUGGGAGAUAAUUAGAUGAGCUUUCAGUGCAAGAGCAGUGUAUUUUAACCGACCUUGGUAAUAAAUUUCCACAGGUCUGGGAAUUUGAUCAGAAUCACCAAAGAUGGCUUCCAGUUGCUGAGUUGGCUUUGCAUGGGGAUAAGGGGGAUCAGGUCUUCACUGUUGCAUGGGCACCUAAUAUUGGCAGGUAACGCAUAUAUGUUUUUCUUUCAAAAUACAUUUUAGACCAGCUGUUAUGGAAAUCUGAAACAUCUGAUAUAGCGUGCUCUGUAAAUCAGUGCUUGCUCCAAUGUAGAUACUUUAUAGAAUGUUGCUGAAAUGUGGAGCCAGGAUAACUCUGAUGGCAAUUGACCUGAAUAGCUUGAGGCUCUUAUUGCACCUAUUUCUGUUGUGUUUUCUUGAUGAAGAACAAUUAAACAAUGCAUAACUAGAAGUGAACUUCUCACUCUUUUAGGCCAUAUGAGGUAAUGGCUGUUGCAACUCACAAGGGAAUCGCGAUAUGGCAUCUUGGGCUUAACCCUGACAUUGAUGGAAGGCUCUCAGUGGAGAGGGUUGCCCUGCUUUCUGGUCAUGAUGGGGAGGUAAUGGUACCGAUGUACUCAUAUUUAUCUUUCUAUUUUGUUCUACUUUACUCAUCCAGAGACAUCUUUAGAGCUGCAAACCUGAUGGAAAUGGACUGAUAAGGGGGGGCGUUUAAUAUCUUUAUCAUUUGGAGUAACUAGAAAGGAAGUUGGGGAUAUUUAAUACAAAAAGUACUUAUUCUUGAUGGUUUUAGUAAGCAUGAACUCAUCUGAUGUGCUGUAUUAAUGAAUAUGGUCUGAUUGUCAUAUAUUCAUUGUUGUGAUUAGGUGUGGCAGAUGGAAUGGGACAUGAGCGGAAUGACCUUGGCAACUACUGGAGGAGAUGGGAUGGUAAGGCUGUGGCAGUCUAACUUGAAUGGUGUUUGGCAUGAACAGGCUGCACUGGAGCCCACUUCUUAGCCCCCACCCCCGUCAGCACUUCCAUCUCCUGUGUUUAUUUUGUCUCAAUAGCAUGGUUUCAUAUUUAACCAUCGUCCUCUGCGCUCUUCAAUCACUAUCCUCUUGAUUUGAUUAAGCUAUGGAGGUUCUCUCACCAAUCUGGCUUUCUAAACAUUGGGCUGGCUUCCAUUUCCUGUGCAAUUGUUUUUUUUUUUUUUUAAUCUAUAUCAAACUUAGCUCCUCAUUUUAAGGGUGUAAGUGAAUUGAAAAGUUGAUCCAGUUCAGCCCAAACCGAUUAAGUCGAUUUGGUUUUCAACGACUAAGAUCAAUUUUCUCUGUUGGUUUCUUUGUCUUCUAACUUAUAAAAACCAAACCAAAUCGGCAUUCUGAGAUUUAUGAUUUAUGAUCGUUGAAUGUUUGAUUUAUUAGAUUAUAGUUAAAUCAAUUUCUAAAUUUUAAUUAUUUUAUUUUGGACUGUAAAUUUUAUGUAUAUUUUGAAUUUUAAAUCUAAGUUAAGUGGUGUUUGUUUUUUUUAUUUAAUUCUAAAUAGAAUCUUAAUAUUUAAUAAUGUUAAAUAUUAAGUUUGUUUUUAUAGUAUUUUAUUUUUAUUAAGUAUUAAAAAGUAAAAAAAAAUUAUUUAAAAAAAGUUACAUAUUUUGGUUUUUUUUAUUUAGUAAAAAAUUUAUAAUAAGUUGUGAGAAAAUAAAAAAACAAACAACCUAAAUUUUGAAAAUAAAUAGUUUUUAGCGAAAAGUUAAAAAAAUAAAUAUUAUUUUAAUUUUAAUUGCUUUUAAAAACAAAUUGGAUUGCAUUCAGUCAAUCAUCUAAAUUGAAUCAAACUGAUUUUAAACAAAGCUUGGUUUAAAUAAAAAUUGAUCACGUAGAAUCGGUUGGUUGAUUUGGUUUUUAAUUUUUCCCUUAAAAAAGAAAAAGAAAAUAGGAGAAUCCUACUGCGGAUGGGCUGGAACUUCUUAGCAUUUCAAACGUACUGACCCUUGGCAUCUUUAACAAAUUGAACCGCCUGUGUUAACAUGGGUAUUAAAACGUAAUACAAUUUUGCUGUCAAGUUGGAUAUAUUAUUGUGUCCCAACUGACCGCAGUGGCCUUUGGUGGUUGAAAUCUUUUCCUUGUGAAGGACGCAUGAACAGACAAUUUGAAUUGUAGGUUACAUUGCAUUGCCAUUUAACCUGGAUCAGAAAACAUCUCACAAAAUCACAGAACAUAAAUUGACAGUCCAUCACCUACUUAAUGAAAAAUCCAAGAGAAUUUCUUGCACAUCAGUGCCUACUGCUUAGCAUGGCCCCUAUGGGAGUCUUAGACUUUAAUCUAGGAUUUGCUAGAAAACAGGGUGUUUUUUUUUUUUUUUUUUUUUUUAAGGAUUUAUGAAAGAAAGUUAUUUUUUAGAAUAAAUUUGUUUUAAGGUGGGGUGCUUUUUAGAGUAGACCAAAGAAUAAUUGAAAAUGUGAAAAAACAGCGGCCAUGUUUAGUUCUCAAUAAGUAAAAUUUUAAUUUGAAAAAAAAAAUAUUUCUUGAAAAUCAUUUUAAAAAAUAUUGCCAAAAUACCUAAUCAUGUUGGCCUUUUAUCAAAAAGUUAGAUGUGUAUUUAGGUAUAUAUGGGGAUAUUGUAGAGAAAGGAAAUGGUGGUGAUGUUGUCAUGGGAGGUUAUAAUAUUAAGGGAGAAUUAUCCAAAAAGGUGGACUGUGCAGAACAAUUACUAAAAAGGGUGAUAUCUUUUAAUAAUUCUUGGAAAUAACUUUAAUAGAUUUAAUAUAUCAAAACUACCCUUUAACUAAAACUUUUAAAAUUCAAACCAUUUAAAGCACUUCACUUGAUUUGUCAAUAUAUUUAUGGUAUAUGGGUCCCAUAUUUAUUGUAAUUAUUGAUAUUUAAAUUUUAAAUCAAAAUUUUGGGUUUAACCCUUAUAAUUAUAUAUAAUUUGUUAUUUAAAUUUACUAUUUAAAACAAAAAUACUUUCAAAAAAUAUUUUCAAAAUAUCAUAUAUUGUUUUUUUACCUUUUUUAUUUUUAUUCUAAUUUUUAAUUUUAUGAAGAAAAAAAUAAGUUUUAUAAUUAUAUAAUAAAAAUGAUGAUUUUUUCAUAUAUAUAUAUAUAUAUAUAUAUUAUAAUUUUAAAUUGAUAAAUUAUGUUUUUGUAUUAAAUUUAAGGAAGAUAAAAUAUUUAAUUUUUCAUUCAGAUUCUCUAAAAAGAAUAAGAAAACGAUAGAGAAUGUUUAAUCAUUUUUAUUUUUAUAAUAAAAUAAUUUAAAAAAAUUUAUAUGAUUUUUUUUCCUUUGUAUAGUUUUUUAUUUAUUUUUUUUAAUUUUCAUAUAAAUUUUUUUUCUCAAUGCAUUGAGUGGAUGAUGUUAAUAUAUUUGAUAUAUUGAAUAUUAAUAAGGUAUAAAAUGUGAUCCUCAAGAUUAUUACUUUUAUUAUAAAAUACAGACACAACAAAAAUAUGUUAUAAUUACAAUAUAAAUAUACUUACAUUAUAAUAAAACUUAAUUAAGAAAUUUAUGAAUUUUUUUAUAAAAAUGGUAAUUUUGUAUGAUCAUACCAUAUUUCACAACAUACCUAUAUCAUAAAUAAUUUUUGAAAUAAAAUAAAAUACUAAUUUGAAUUCACGUAGUUUAUAUAUAUAUAUAUAUUACAAAAAUUAUUAAAUAAUUUCAAAACACUAAAUAAAUGUUGUUAAUAUAUUAAUACGAUGUGUUAAUACUAUAAGGUAUGAAUAAACAUUUUUAGAAUUAUUACUUUUGUAACUAAAUAUAGAUACAACAUAAAUGCAUUAUACUUACAAUAUAAAUACACUAUCAUUACAAUAUAUUACAACAUAAUUUAAUUUAUUUUUAUUUAAUUUUUUCAUGUGCUAUAUUACCCAAUGAAUGAUUGUGAGUUAUUCCAUUUAAUAGGUGUGUGUUAGUCAAUUGAAUAAUAUAUAAAUAUUCAAUUGAUGAGUGUUCGUAAAAAAUAAUUAUUCAUUAUAUUAUGAUAACAAAAUUUUUAAUUGUAUGUUUUAUAUAUAAAACGAUAUAAUAACUUUAGGAUAUGAUUUUUAUUUAUGAGAUAUUAAAAAUUAUUUUUUUUACAAGGUUCUUUAAAAAAUCUCAAUUUUUUUGAAAAAAAAAUAACAAAUUUUUAAACAAUCAAUUGUUUAAAAGUGACAAUAAUUUUUUCAAGUUGAGAAAUGUACGGUUGAUGUCCUAUCAACCUAUACUUAUCAUCAUGAAUGGGCCCACAUCCAUCUCUUCAGCCACAGAACAGUUGUUACCCACGCAUAUCUUACGAUUCUUAUCACCAAGAUUGUAAUUAUGCAAAAUGGAAACCAAAAGAUAGAAAAAUUCAAUCUAUUUCUUGCCAUUAUGCUAUUUUUCAUGGAUGAAAGUUACGAUUCUUGAAGCAAGUGGGCUACUGUAGUUAUCAAUGGUUUGUUAGAUUGGUUCUAGGCUACGGCAGUGAGAGUAUCCAGAUAUUUAAUGCGGUAGACAUGGUAGAAAACUGGAGUUUGAAGAUCUGAAAAUGUUGGCUGUAGUUUCAGCAUGAAACAGAGAAUGGCUAUAGAAAGAAAUUAUGGUAGAGUUUCUUUUGUUUUUUUUUUACUUUCUAUUAUCGGUUCUGCUGUUUUUGUUGUACAGUAUCUAGAUUUCAAACCAGAUGCGAAGAGAUUUAACUUGAGCAGAUCUCUCCACGUGGAAGCAUGAGAACCAAUCAAAACAUGACAACCACAUUAUGUUACAGAAAAUAAAACCAAUCAAGGAGGAGAGAAAAUAAAAAGGAAAAGAAGUGCUAGCCAGAAAAAAAUUGAGAUUAUCAAUGGAGAGCAGUUGCAAAAAGGUCUGUGUAACAGGAGGUUCUGGUUAUAUAGGCUCUUGGCUGGUAAAGAAGCUAUUGGAGAAAGGCCAUACUGUCCAUGCAACACUAAGAAACUUGGGUCUCUCUCCCCCUUUCUCUCUCUGUCUUCUUCGUAAACAGCUUUUUCAUUGUGUUUGAUUUGAAUUGCAGGUGACACCUCCAAAGUAAGCUUUCUCAAGUCUCUUCCUAAUGCAGACGCGAGGCUUGUGUUAUUUCAAGCUGAUAUCUACAAUCCUGAUGAGUUUGAGCUGGCAAUCAAAGGCUGUGAAUUUGUUUUCCAUGUCGCUACUCCCAUGCUCCAUAGCCCCCAAAGUACACAGGUCAGUGAUGAUCAGUCUCUUCAUUUACCUGAUCCGUUAAGAAAAUUUUGAAAUUGAUGACACUUUAAAGCCCCCAAAAAACAAAAAACAGUACAAAGACACCACUGAAGCUGCAGUUGCUGGGGUGAAAAGUAUAGCUGAUUCCUGCGUUCGAUCACAAACCGUCAAGAGACUAAUCUACACAGCAUCUGUCAUGGCCUCAUCUCCAUUGAAAGAAGAUGGGUUCGGCUUUAAGUCUUGUUUGGAUGAGUCCUGUUGGACACCCCUCAAUCUCUCAUACCAGCAUAGCAAUGACGUAAUGAUGGUAUGUCCCCUCUCCCCUCUUAUUAUACCCGAAAAAUAUUAUUCAUACAUAGAAUUAUUCAUGAAUUUAUGAACAAAUAAAUCUUGUUGUAGGCAUAUGUGAAAUCAAAGACACUAGCAGAGAAGGAGGUGUUGAGCUAUAAUGUAGAUGAAAAUAGUGAUCAAUUAGAAGUGGUUACCCUUGCUUGUGGCCUAGUUGCAGGAGGGACACUUCAGAACUAUCCUUCAACAAGCAUAGGAUGUGUUUUAUCACAGCUUACAGGCAAUUUAAUUCUUUAUGAAGGACUAAGGUUUCUGCAAGAAAUGCUUGGUACAAUUCCUCUUAUACACAUCGAUGAUGUCUGUGAAGCACACAUCUUCUGCAUGGAAAAACCAGUGAUGAAAGGCAGAUUUCUGUGUUCAGCUGUCAAUGCCACCAUCAAUGAGAUCGCAGACUUCUACUGCGAAAAUUAUCCGGAAUUCAAGAUAACAGAAGAGUAUAAAACUCUUAAUCUUUGGUUGAAAUUUUUUUUUUCUCCUUUUAAUGAGAUAUUAAUUGCUGAUUAGUAUGUGAUAGAUUGCAUAUUUUGAACUGCUAUACGUAGUAAUGGCUAUGAAAAUUUGUUCUAGGUUCACAGGAGGGGUGGAGGGGCCAACCUGCAAAUGGGAUUAUACAAAGCUGGUGAAGGAGGGUUUU
rnacentral:lncRNA from 1 species